UACGAAGGGGGCGAGCGUUGUUCGGAUUUACUGGGCGUAAAGGGCGCGUAGGCGGCCCGUUUUGUCAGGCGUGAAAGCCCUGGGCUCAACCUGGGAACUGCGCUUGGGACGGAUGGGCUUGAGAUCGGGAGAGGAGAGUGGAAUUCCCAGUGUAGAGGUGAAAUUCGUAGAUAUUCGCAAGAACACCAGUGGCGAAGGCGGCUCACUGGCCCGGAACUGACGCUGAGACGCGAAAGCGUGGGGAGCAAACAGG
rnacentral:rRNA from 1 species